UAAAUAGAAACAUAAACAAUUAAAUGCUUUAUUAAAAGUUAGAAGCUUUUUUUAAAUUAUUUCUUU
rnacentral:tRNA from 1 species